rnacentral:rRNA from 1 species
GACGAACGCUGGCGGCGUGCUUAACACAUGCAAGUCGAACGGGCCUUGUCCCCUUUUUUUUUGGGGGUGGGGUUAGUGGCGAACGGGUGAGUAACACGUGAGUAACCUGCCCCUCACUUCUGGAUAACCGCUUGAAAGGGUGGCUAAUACGGGGUGUUCUGGCCUGCUCGCAUGGGUGGGUUUGGAAAGAUUCGACCGGUUUUGGUUGUUUUGGUGGGGGAUGGGCUCGCGGCCUAUCAGCUUGUUGGUGGGGGGAUGGCCUGCCAAGGCUUUGACGGGUAGCCGGCCUGAGAGGGUGGGCGGUCACACUGGGACUGAGACACGGCCCAGACUCCUACGGGAGGCAGCAGUGGGGAAUAGUGCACAAUGGGCGCAAGCCUGAUGCAGCGACGCCGCGUGAGGGAUGGAGGCCUUCGGGUUGUGAACCUCUUUCGCCAGUGAAGAAGGUCCUGCUCUUUGUGGUGGGGUUGACGGUAGCUGGGUUAAUGAAGCGCCGGCUAACUACGUG